rnacentral:hammerhead_ribozyme from 1 species
AUCCAACUGAUGAGUCCCAAAAUAGGACAAAACACGCGUCCUGGAU